GACGAACGCUGGCGGCAUGCCUAAUACAUGCAAGUCGAGCGAACAGAUGAAGUGCUUGCACUUCUGACGUUAGCGGCGAAAGGGAGAGUAACGCGUAGUUAUGUGCCCUAGGGUCCGAAAUAGCCACGGGAAACUGUGGGUAAUGCCGGAUAACAUCCCCGGAUCAAAGGUGUGAUUCCGCCCUAGGAGCAGACUGCGUCCUACUAGCUAGUUGGUGGGGUAAUGGCCCACCAAGGCAAUGAUGGGUAGCGGGUGUGAGAGCAUGACCCGUCUCACUGGGACUGAGACACUGCCCAGACACCUACGGGUGGCUGCAGUCGAGAAUCUUCGGCAAUGGGCGAAAGCCUGGCCGAGCGAUGCCGCGUGCGGGAUGAAGGCCCUCGGGUUGUAAACCGCUGUCGUAGGGGAGGAAGGUUCCGUGAAGAGCGGAAUUUGACCUAUCCUAGGAGGAAGUACGGGCUAAGUUCGUGCCAGCCGCCGCCGUAA
rnacentral:rRNA from 1 species